CUCACAGCUAAACAAAGAAAAACCUAAGAAAAAGAUCAAUUGCUCACAAGUCACACCCAAAGAAAGCUGAAGCCAAAAGCCCUAACCCCUUGAAGGUGCUUUCAUUUUCAGGUCAUGGAAUUGAGCACUUGCUCUCUCACCAAGCAGACUUUAAGGCUUUGAAAUCAGCAAACAAAGUAAGUUUCCAAUAACACCCUCCCUGAAACCCAUCUCUAUAUUUAAAAGCAAGGGCAGCAAAUCCUAUGCAUUUGACUCUUACCUCACAUUGACUUGCCUCUUCUUCAAAUUCCCAGGCUAAAGGCUUCUAAACAAAUAACCAAAAAGUUUCUUGAUUUUCAGAACCCCUAAGAAAAAACCCAAGGAGGCCCCCAAACAUAUACCUCACAUUCAUCCAGUUUCUUGAAAGAGAAAAGAGAGACAAAAAGAGAACUUUUGUUAAAAGUUUUCCAUGCCUUGAACUGGGUUACAAGUGAGAAGAAGCAAAUGGGUCUUAAAAGAAAGCUGGCUUGCUUAUCUUUUCUUCUGCUGAUAAUGUCACAGUUAGAUACUCCUCGUUUUGCUGUUGGCUAUGGAAAGUUCAGUAGAUUCAAAGGUGGGUCUGCUUCUGAUCAUCAUCAUCUCAGCCCUACCAACUCUAACGUUGGCUUCAAAGGAAAAAAUGCACAUAAAGAUUCUGAUGAAAUAUUUGGUGCAGAAAAGAGGAAAGUCUACACAGGACCAAAUCCUCUACACAACAGAUAAGUUAUUGCUAGAGUCAGGAAGCUUGAAUUCUGUUUCAGCUACGAGAUUUUCUCUUCUUUUCCGAUCCUUCUGCUUCCUUUUUUCUUUCAUUUCUUACUUAAUAUCUUUCAAUUUUCUUUAUUUUCCCCCUUUUUUAUGAACAUUUUCGGUGCUUGAAGCUUUCUCUGGACUUGUUCCAGUACCGGUUCAAGUAAUCUUACAGAUGUAAAUGAGAGUUUAGGUUUCAGAUUUUGGUUGAGAAAGUAUACUUAUUUCUUUUUUUUUUCUUUAAAAAGUUUAUAUAUAAAGGAAAAA
rnacentral:misc_RNA from 1 species